UUGAACUCUAACCCGGCGAGUCACAAGAAGUAAACAAAAUAUUGGAACGUGUUUUGGUUAACUGGAAAGACGAUACCUACUUCAUCAUAUCCUUGAAGACAUUGGAACGUCCGUGAAAGAGCUUGGUAUAUACGCAUUUGCUGAUGAAAUCCUUCAUGAAUCCCAGGUUUUCUGGGGAAUAUCAUGGGAAGAUCGUCGCCAUUUCAGGGAAUAUUUCAGAUGAUAACAAGAGCUGUGCACACUGAUGGGGGAAAAUACAGGCAGAAACAACAGAUGAAGAAUUCUCAGCUCCACCUCAUGAGUCUGUUAUAGAGGUCCAUGAACCUCCCCCUCAACCCCCUGCUGCAAAGAGAAUCAGUGCCGAAAACAAAUCAAACAAAGAUGGUGGAGCUUAUACCUGGGACUGGGGUUUAUGUGUAUCCCAAACACAUAAAAACUACACAGAGGAAGACGAAGGGGAACAGGUCGACAGAUAUUUGAUGUCAGUGUUCUUCACCAACACUGAGCUGGUCAACCUGGGAAAGGUUUGAACCAGACCAUUGUUUGAGCAAUAAUUGAUUAUGCUGAGGCGAUUCAUGGGAAAAGUGGCCUGUCAGAAAUCAAGUUUUCAAUGAGGACAAAAAUCAGUGCUUUGGUCAGCUUGGCCAGGAGGAACUCAACCACAUAGAACAAAUGAGACAUUUCAACUUUUAAGAACUAUUAAUAUGAUUGUUUGUUGUAACUUUACAAGAGAUAUUCUAUUAAUGAUUAUUUUAGGAAUGGUUAUGUGAAAUAGUUGUGAAUACCAGAGAAUAAAAGUGAGUAUGCUAGUGUCAAAGCUGGAGAGAGUCAUAGUCAAUGCAGGGCACUCCCUGAAAGUCAGCAUGAGAGUAUAUUUAUUGCAUUAUUGUGUAUUAUAUUGUAAAAUAAUAGUAACUACAGAAAGUAUUUAUAUAAUAGUAACUACAAGAAAAUAUUUUUGAUGUAGUAAGUGCAAGAGAAUAUCUAGAUGAUAAAUAGUAACUUCAAGAAAAUACUUAUAUAAUAGUAGCUAAAAGAAAAUAUUUAUUCAUAUAAUAGUAACGUAAAGAAAAUUAUUUAUAUUAUAGUUACUUCAAAGGAAUAUUUAUUUAUAUGAUAAUAACUACAAGAAAGCAGGUGAUAUAUAAUAGUAACUUCAAAGGAAUACUCUAUUAAAAUAGAAUUUCAUUUAAACAACAGAUCCAGUAAAGGUUAGGUUAUGAUUUUUUUUGAUAC
rnacentral:lncRNA from 1 species